ACUUUGAAAUGCGCGAAGCUACAUACUGAGUGAAAUCAGAAAGCUUUGUUAGUAUUUUACGAAUUUAUUUUAUAUAGUACGUAUGUUGGCAUUUUAAAAUAUUUGUUACACUUCCAAUACACAUACUACUUUACAAGAACUAGAAUUGACAUGCAUUGUUAAUAUCAUAAGCAUUAUAGAUAGUAUAGUGUAUGUACGUAUAUUAGAACACUUAUCAGUAACAUUUUGACCAAAGUUUGAGUGAAGCAUAUUAUUUUGUGCCAAGAAAGUACCGUUACCUAUAACAUUAAUAAUAAAAUUGGGUUUUUAGUAAAUAUAAAUUAUAAAGGAUUAAUUUUAUCAAAAGUAAGGAAAAAUUAAAGCAUACAUUAGGAUUUUAUGUAUCGCCCGUAAGCUGUUGCUGAGGAACGUUGUUAGCAACUCGGAAACGCGCAAAGUAAACAGCACGUAAUACCUGGGGCAAGCAGGUAACACUUUCGUAGGGCCCCCAGCGAAGCUAUUCAUGAAGUUCGUUGGCUAACGCCACUCUAGAGGUUGAAAAAUAAGAUGAUUUCCAGGAAUUUUUAAAAUAAAAACCAUGCAAAGUAUAGAAUCAAGAAUAAAAAAAGCUUUAUUGCAUAUAUUUUCGGGAAGGUUUGUGAAUUUUUUUAAACAUUUUGUGAAUCAGCGUAACGGAAAAAUAUAUAAAAAGUAUGUGCAGAGAACACUGUAGCGCGAUUCUACAC